UUUAUGAUGAAAAUAAUUGGUCCGUGUUGAUGAAUUUAAUUGAUUAUAUUUAUUUCCAAUUACUGACAUUG